ensembl:lncRNA
AAAGUGAGUGCAAAUUGUUUCCUCAAUUUUAUUGAGUAGAUUCUAUAGGUUGUUUUUUACAGUGUUCUCCACUUUCCAAUUGAAUAUAAGAAGUCUUCCUUGUAACUAUGACAAAUUUAUUCAUUAUUUAUCUUUACUUAAACAUAAUUUCUCUGUUAUUGUUUUAUCUGAAACAUGGCUUACAGAAGACUCUAGAGAAAUAUUUAAAUUACCAAAUUACAAUUCAGUUCAUUAUGUGAGAGAAAAUAGAUCGGGAGGUGGAGUAUCUUUAUUUUUUUUAGACAACUAUGAAUUUAAAGUUAGGGAUGAUUUAUCACUGAAUUCAGUAGAAUCUGUUUUUGUGGAGCUCUCUGGUGUUUUUGGUGGAAAAAACGUUCAUAGUUGGUGUCAUAUAUCGUUCACCAGAUUCUGUUGUCAAAGAUUUUAAUGAAUGUCUAUCCAGUUCUCUUGAUCUGAUUAACAAGGAGGAUAAACUUUGUUAUAUCUUAGGUGAUUUUAAUAUAAAUCUUUUAAAAAAUAAUCCAGAUACAUUUACUGCAGAUUUUCUAAAAAUACUUUAUUCUAGUUAUUGUUUCCCUCUUAUUCAUAAACCUACUCGAGUAAAGGAGAAUUCAGCAACUUUGAUUGAUAACAUCUUAACAAAUAAUUUGAGUGAAGGAAUGAAAUCUGGAGUCCUGUAUGUGGAUUUGUCUGAUCAUUUCCCUAUAUUCCAAUUUUCGUUAAUCAAGUUUAAUACAACCAAACAAAAAAAGAAAAAGAUGCUUAAAAGAAGUAUGAGCAAGCUAAAUGUUUUUAAAUUUAAAGAUAUGCUUGCAAGUACUUCAUGGAAUGAUCUUUACAAAGAAAAAAAUGCUCAUUUUGCAUAUCAACACUUUAUGAAAAUUAUAAGCGGUAGUUUCAAUGAAUGUUUUCCACUUACUAGCUCUACUAGGAAAUAUAGUCAGGCCUUUAGUAAGCCUUGGUUUACAGUUGACUUGUUGAAGCUCCUGAGGAAAAAGUUGUACAAAAAUUGUACAAAAAAUAUAUUUCAAAUCCUACACCCCUUACCCGUGGUGCUUAUACAUCUUGUAGAAAUAAAUAUACUUAUUACAUUAGAUCGUCAAAAAAGAAAUAUUUCUGUGAGAAAUUUAAGGUGUUCAAAUGAUACUAAAACCACAUGGAAAGUUAUAAAUCAGUUGCUGCAUAGAGAUAAGUCUCAUUCAGAAUUACCUUCAGUUUUUUAUGAAGGUGAUAAUUCUUUUAAUAAUUCAUUUGAUAUAGCUCAAAUAUUUAAUAAUUUUUUUGUUAACAUUGGACAUGAAUUAGCCAGUAAAAUUCCUGUUUGUAAUGGUAAUCCACUAGAUUAUAUUAUAAGGAAUUAUCUUUCUAUUUCUUUUUUUCAGCCUCCUGAUGUUCAAGAAAUAAGUGAUAUUAUUGAUGAAAUGAAAACAUCUUCAACUGGCCAUGAUAACAUUUCUUCAUUCCUUGUCAAACAGAUCAAGCAGUUUAUUUUGCAGCCACUGGUUUUCAUUUUUUCACUUUCUCUGAAAACAGGAGUUGUACCAGAGGAUUUAAAGGUCGCUAAAGUUAUUCCUCUGUUUAAAGCAGAUGACCCUUGUUGCUUCAGUAAUUAUAGACCCAUAUCCAUAUUGCCUUGUUUUUCAAAAAUAUUAGAAAAAGUUAUAUAUAAAAGGAUCUUAUUCCAUCUUGAUUCUAAUUUAAUUCUUUAUAAACAUCAGUAUGGCUUCAGGAAAAGUCAUUCCACAUCUAUGGCCUUGCUUUAUUUGAUUGACAAAGUUUCCUUUGCAUUAGAAAAUAAUGAAUUUACCUGUAGUAUAUUCGUCGACUUCUCAAAAGCUUUUGAUACAGUCAACCAUCAUAUUCUAUUGAAAAAAUUGCAAAAAUAUGGUUUUCAUGAUGUUACGCUUGAAUGGUUAAAAAACUAUAUUUUAAACAGACAACAGUUUGUUU